AACCAAUCAAUCCAACCACUGGUCACAGAAACGGAAGUUCAAGCAACGUGAUAUGUGACGUGACUUGUAAACAAACGUCAGCGUUAGCUUGUUAGCUUGGGAAAGGAAUGCCGUCUUAACAGAAUCGAUUCUCCAGGAUGUUGUGUGAAGUCCUGCUGUCAUCAUUAUGGUUCCUGUUUGUUAUCUUCUGGGUCGAGACAAUAAGUGUUUGGCUGUUUCUGUCCAUGUUUUAUCAGAACAGGGCAUUUUAUCACUGGGGAGAUGGGGUAUUUGCAGAUGAUCCUGGGCAGCUGAUUUACAUGUUAAGCAGAGUCGAUUCACAAAUGCAGACGGAGAUGCAGACCUGAGACGGAGAAGGAUCAUGAACUGGACCUAAAGGACUCUCAGAUGGAUGGCUGUUGCAGUCAUGUGAUGGAACAUGAUGGGAAUGACAGAACAUGACGGAGAGCAAUAGCUGUUUCACCUGUGCACUAACUGCUUAGCACACUGUUGUGCUUUGUCCUUGUUGUUCUAAGAGUAGACCUACUUUUUGUCAUAGGCAGUGGAGAGAUGCUGCAUGUGGAAGACGAGAGGUGGAGGGAGGUCUCAGUCUUUUAUGUGUAUCACAGCACCUACAGUGUCAUUUAGCAAGAGAUAUUAUCACAAAAGGCUUUGUUUAGAAAGGUUGAGCACAGUACUUCUUUGUUUCUGCUAAAUCCAUUUUGGACUUUCAAUGAGAUGCUGAUUUAAUCAUACUGGUGUUCUAUGCAAGUGCAGCUGUUUUUAUGGCAGUUUAUUGUGUAAUAGAAAUCCAAUUGAAGUCUGUUCAAUAUGUUUGAAUGUUUUCAACAAAAGAUGUGGUGCCACAACCUCUAACAAUGAGCUGCAUUUGAUUUUCUGAGGUUUAAGGAGUUUUUCUGGGGUUAUCUAUGAUUUUAAACAAAGUAGAUUGGUGACUCUGAGUUCAUGAUCUUGUUCUGAGCUGAUCACACUAACAACCCUUAUUUAACAUAGAUAAAGUAAUUUCAAGUACAACUUCACUUUAGCGCUAAGGUUCAUUGAAACAUUACUACUUGCUUAAUUUUCUUUAAUAUGUUGUAAAUGUUAAUCUUGUUUUCAUUGUGGGCUGAAUGAUUUUGCUCCAGUGUUUGUUGUUUUAAUACUGAAAAUCCACACAGAGGUGGGUUUGAUAACUGAAAUGUCAUGGUAAAAGCGCCAUCUACUGUUGAAAAUCAGAAAAUUGUAGUGAAGGGUCUGGAAGUGCACCAAGUGAUAGAAAGAAGAAACUUGGAGAAGGGGAGGAUGUUCUCUUUCUUUAAAAAUACAUUGAAUUUAUAUCCAGUUAAGGAAAUAAUUUGCAAAUCUUUACAAGCCUGUAAGAUUCCUGGAUUGGGAAAUCUUUUAGUAUUGUUUUAUGUCAACUGAUUGAACUGCUUUUAAACAAAACCAUUGGGCUGUCACAGUUUCCUUGGUGACAGAAGCAAUGUAAGUGGUUUUGUACUAAAUAAAAGGCGUUUUCUCAA